UCAAAAUAUUGUGUUUGCUUAAUAAAAACAAUUUAACGAUGGUAUUUCCUACGUCAAGUUAGGUUAGGGCCGCACGAUUACAUAGUAGGUAGAACGUCAUAACACGCAACCAGUGUAAUUCGUCAUUAGGUAAUAUCCGGUUGUUUUCCUAUUCCCAGUGUACGUACUACCAAAGUUUCCUGGAAACUUAGGCCUCGAGGCAAAUCCAAUUUGGCCUGUGCCAAUUACCCCCGACCUUUGAUAUACGGCAGCUCAGCACCCAAAACUUUUUCGCCAUUUAUCCCCCAACUUUCGCAAUUCCCGAGACUUUCAUACAGAAGUUGCGCAAUAAACUUAAAGUGUAACUUCUGAUACAAUACCUGAGAUUAACAAAAAACCGGUCCGACCAGUCACGCGUUUUCAUCUCGGCGAAAUUCACAGUUAGGUACUGAUGUACGGCGAGCGGCAGAGGUUGCGAAGUAAGCGCUGCUGAAAAUAAUUCGCACGCGAAUCGUUAGGUUAUAAGGCUUGAGUAUUGAGCGUGAUAUUUUUGUUGCUUACUGUUCUGGCUAUCAGAAAAAUUACCUUGUUUAUUUCACCUGACGACUGCCUGGAAUAAAUAACAAACAAGGCUAUCUGUACCUAGCUGUGAAGGUGGAAUCUGUAAAUGCGAAGUACUUGUUUUUCGACGGAAUCGCUCCCAGGCCAGCGAUAUAUUAUCAGCACCUACCGACUGUUGGCUAGCGUUCGCUUCAGGGAAAACCAUUAUAAGCUCUCUGCUAUUACGUAUUAUUGACACAGAUCUCUAGGUCGCAGAUAGACUGGAUAACCUGAGUUAAAACCUUGGAAAGACGUAAGAAUAGCGUCAGUAGUCGUAGCGACGCAAGCACUGGGGGGCCGCCUGCGCGCGCCUCAUCGAUCUCCGAAUCAUCCCCCCGCCCUCAUCAUCCCCCCUACGUCUCCCGCUUCAUCCCCGACACGUGUACGCCACAUCACCGGGAUAACUCAUUUUGUAACGACAUGAAUCUGAUUACCUCCAUCAAUUUCAGCUACGGUUUCGUUUAGGAAUUUAACAAAAUGGUGGAGUGACCUAAGUCUAUAAACGGCGACUAGUUUUUGCGCGCAAAUGUUACAUCAGCUCAGCCACGCGAACGGUAACAUGUGACUGCCUCCAUUUUAUAACUAAGAAGUUAUACUUGUUAUUCAACUACAAUAAUAUAAAUAUUAAGGAGCCUUUUUGUAUUGUUAAAGUAAAGUAAGACUGGAUUUAUUUUAGACAAGGAAAGAAAGCACCUAAUGAACUGCAAAACAAAUCUUUUCUUUAUUCAACAAAGUAAUCAAUCUUAUCAGGUACAGGAAAGCAAAACUGAGUCCCAUAAAAUAAAUCCACUGUACAAAGGAAAAAGCAAGGCUCGCAAAGCAAAUCAAGUUAAUCCAUCAGUGACAAAAGGGAAGUCAUAGGAGCGUUUCUCAUUGGGCGAGCGGCAAAAUUCGUAGGGAUCAGGUUUGGGGCGCUCGCGUGCUGACGGAAGGAGAGGGGCGGUGCAGCUGGUGCAUCGGGCCCCCGGCCCCCGCGCCGGCCCAUUGCCAAGUUCAAUGCCAAGGUCAUGCGCGCGCGACUGCGGCUGCGCGCCGCACGGCCGCAAUGCAGGAGCGGCCGGCGUUCGGCGCGACCGGCCGUCAGUGCCUCACGAACCGCGUCGUACGCCGCACUUUUUCCCUAACUCACCUGUUAAAACCCCGAAAACUCUAGUUGGUUAACUCAGUGUGUUUGGAAUUUGACAUGUCGGUUCAGUACGUGCGUUGCCGCGACGCCGCGCCAAGCCACGCUCACCUGUUAUGCAACACUUCCUCAUAUUAAACAUCCGUCUUGAUUAUACAACUGAACUCUGGGGAGUAGAGAGCAACCUGCACUCAUGCAACCUACACUCAAAUAUGAGUUUAAUAGGUCCGUGGUCCGGCCUUCGCUCCUGGCGGAUGGCAGCAUGCUCGGCAGGAAGUCCUAGUUUGUGUCGCCGUUCUACUGCACGCCUUAAUUGAAGACACGAAACUGGGUUAUAUCCGUGAAAAUAAAUUUUGUAAAUUUCAAGCAACUGUCACUCUAAUUAGGGUUUAAUUGGAGUGAAAGAGAAUGAUGCCUAAAAUUUGCGAAUUUCCGUGAUCGCGGUAGGCCCUCUAUGUUAACGGCAUCAAGCAUGAGACAUUUAAGAGAAAAAUUUAUACCGCUUCUUUAUGCUUUAAACCUUGUAUGUCCAAAUCUUCCUCGGUUUUCUAUGUAUUCAAUGAAUGCUACUGCAAUUGGUUUCAAUAUUAUUAACCAAUUAAAACUAUGGUUUUUCGCUCCAGUCAUGGGAUAUAUGGCGUCAUUAAUUUUAUUACUACAAUAUUUGUUAGAAAGAGAAGCCAAUAUAGGGUAUAAGGAAGUAACACACUUUCCGUUUAGGUACCUGUGACCCCAUAUGGGCCCCAUCAUACUGGUAAACUGAACAAUAAAGAACGAUAGGCAUGAAGACAAUAGUUAUUUGGUUUACAACAGGGCAAAGUUGUUGUUUAAUUCCUCUUGCUAAUAUUGAUACGUGAGCAAGGGAAUAAUUCCAAAAUUGGUACCUACACGAGCGUAGCUAACACAGCAUUAUUCACCACACCAUCUCGAGGAAAGUACUAACUGUAAGACAUUACUAAUCAAAUGAAAAUGAAGGCUAUUAAAUAUUUAUCAUUCAAGAUCAUCAUUUAAAAGUCAAGUCUAGUCUAGUCAGUUAAAAUGAAAUAACUCAAAAUUUGCAUCAACUUACGAUGCCACUCAUGUGGAUGAAAUUCAACUUUCCAAUCAGUUUUUGAAGUGUAAAGAGAGCCUUUACGAGCUGGAGUGGUGAAAAAUAGAUUUCACCAGUGGCACUUGGUUAUGUUAGAAAAUGAAUUCGAUCCAUAUACACUGUAAGUUUUAACACUCUACUCAAUGAUAUACACUAGCGCUUGUUAAAAAAAAAGUAAAACGCUUAGAUUCCAAGAUUUCUUUAUUGUUCCAAAAUAACAAAUCAUAAUGUCUAAAGAGGCAUUUAGAAUUCUCAAAUACUCGACUACUUAAAAAACAAAUCAAAAAAUAUUUCAAAAAAUAAUUUGAUUUGUUCCCUAAUUCUCAAAAACUCACCUAAUCAAUAGGACAUCAUUAACUUUCUGUGAAAAAUAUUAUCUCAUUCGGUCGUAGGUAUGGUCGUAGGAUUGCGACAAUUUCAUUGUUUAGUAAGGCUUCUCUAUAGUAAUAAUAACUUAAUGUCUGUAUAAAGCUUUUAUUUCCCAUAAAAAUCCAAUAUUUUUUAAGUCGCCGGAUUACCUGUGCCAACUGGAACUCUAAACACACUGAAACUUGAUUGCAAUGCUGACUUCGACCCAAAAGACGACGGCAACAUUAGCAACAACAGCUCUCCUAUUUUCAAGAUAUGGACUGGACUGAAUGGACUGGCCGCGUU